rnacentral:lncRNA from 10 species
AAUUGCUUAGAAAGUUCUGUCUUAGUAAUGUACAGAUCUCAAGGAAUGCUUGUGAUUUUUUUCACAUUGAUUAUGUAUCCUGAGCCUUUGCUGAAGUUGCUUAUCAGCUUAAGGAGAUUUUGGGCUGAGACGAUGGGUUUUCUAAAUAUACAAUCAUGUCAUCUGCAAAUAGAGACAAUUUGCUUUUGUUUUUAGGUUUUUUAAAAAUUAUUAUUGCAUUGCAAUAAUCAAUUAUAAUUGGGAUUCACUAAAAACAAAUUACAUGAAAAUAGAGACUAAGUUUGAACUAUCAAUUUUUUUUCAUAAUGAAAUUGUGCAUAUUUUUAAAUUUACAGUAGCUAGAGUAUUUUCAUGCUUU